rnacentral:rRNA from 1 species
UGGCAUAGAGUUUGAUCCUGGCUCAGGAUGAACGCUAGCGGCAGGCCUAAUACAUGCAAGUCGAACGGUAACAUGAGUAGCAAUACUUGAUGACGAGUGGCGCACGGGUGCGUAACACGUAUGCAAUCUACCUUUAACUGGUGAAUAGCCCGAAGAAAUUCGGAUUAACACACCAUAGUAUAUUAAAGUGGCAUCACUUAAAUAUUAAAACUCCGGUGGUCAAAGAUGAGCAUGCGCGACAUUAGCUAGUUGGUGAGGUAACGGCUCACCAAGGCAACGAUGUCUAGGGGAUCUGAGAGGAUUAACCCCCACACUGGUACUGAGAUACGGACCAGACUCCUACGGGAGGCAGCAGUAAGGAAUAUUGGACAAUGGUCGAAAGACUGAUCCAGCCAUGCCGCGUGAAGGAUGAAGGACCUAUGGGUUGUAAACUUCUUUUGUACGGGCAAAAACCUCCUUACCUGCACAGAGCUGAUUGUACCGGACCAAUAAAGAUCGGCUAACUCCGUGUCAUCAUCUGAUAGAAUAGGGAGGAUCCAACCAGUAUGCCGAUUCGAUGGGAAUCAGCGGGGCGGACGUCGAGUCGGGCAAUUCCCGGGCGAGCUCAUUGGUGCCGACCGGCCCCCAACGCCAAAAAGUCGCCCACCCUUACUCAAAGGACGAAUCCACGCCAGGUGGAGCGACUACGUCUCGAGUGCUGCCCGGGCCCGUUGCCCUUCAGACGCCCCUCGCGCGUCCCGCAAAUAAGAUGUGACAAAAGGCGAGUAGACCGCAUAUGUUAACACACACUUCAGAAAGACGUCGACCUUCGCCACCAUCGAGCUUGCGAAUGAGUGCGCCUGUGCGCCCCC